CUGUUCGCAACGCUCUUCAGUGAGCGUUAAACAAAUCAAUCCACGCCCAUAGCGCGCCAUAAAGUUGAUCGCUUCAGGAGUUAUCCGCUCGGCAGCAAUGAUUA
rnacentral:antisense_RNA from 1 species